GGGUUGUGAGGUUAAGCGACUAAGCGUACACGGUGGAUGCCCUGGCAGUCAGAGGCGAUGAAGGACGUGCUAAUCUGCGAUAAGCGCCGGUAAGGUGAUAUGAACCGUUAUAACCGGCGAUUUCCGAAUGGGGAAACCCAGUGUGAUUCGUCACACUAUCAUUAACUGAAUCCAUAGGUUAAUGAGGCGAACCGGGGGAACUGAAACAUCUAAGUACCCCGAGGAAAAGAAAUCAACCGAGAUUCCCCAGUAGCGGCGAGCGAACGGGGAGGAGCCCAGAGCCUGAAUCAGCAUGUGUGUUAGUGGAAGCGUCUGGAAAGGUGCGCGAUACAGGGUGACAGCCCCGUACACAAAAGCGCAUGUGCUGUGAGCUCGAUGAGUAGGGCGGGACACGUGGUAUCCUGUCUGAAUAUGGGGGGACCAUCCUCCAAGGCUAAAUACUCCUGACUGACCGAUAGUGAACCAGUACCGUGAGGGAAAGGCGAAAAGAACCCCGGCGAGGGGAGUGAAAAAGAACCUGAAACCGUGUACGUACAAGCAGUGGGAGCACAGGUUUACCUGUGUGACUGCGUACCUUUUGUAUAAUGGGUCAGCGACUUAUAUUCUGUAGCAAGGUUAACCGUAUAGGGGAGCCGUAGGGAAACCGAGUCUUAACCGGGCGUUAAGUUGCAGGGUAUAGACCCGAAACCCGGUGAUCUAGCCAUGGGCAGGUUGAAGGUUGGGUAACACUAACUGGAGGACCGAACCGACUAAUGUUGAAAAAUUAGCGGAUGACCUGUGGCUGGGGGUGAAAGGCCAAUCAAACCGGGAGAUAGCUGGUUCUCCCCGAAAGCUAUUUAGGUAGCGCCUCGUGAAUUCAUCUCCGGGGGUAGAGCACUGUUUCGGCUAGGGGGCCAUCCCGGCUUACCAACCCGAUGCAAACUGCGAAUACCGGAGAAUGUUAUCACGGGAGACACACGGCGGGUGCUAACGUCCGUCGUGAAGAGGGAAACAACCCAGACCGCCAGCUAAGGUCCCAAAGUCAUGGUUAAGUGGGAAACGAUGUGGGAAGGCCCAGACAGCCAGGAUGUUGGCUUAGAAGCAGCCAUCAUUUAAAGAAAGCGUAAUAGCUCACUGGUCGAGUCGGCCUGCGCGGAAGAUGUAACGGGGCUAAACCAUGCACCGAAGCUGCGGCAGCGAACGUAUCACCCAAGACAACUUUACGGAGUUGACGAUUGACGGAGCGAAGCGACGUCAAAGCGUUCAUUAAAGUCGAGUUGGCUUAGGGAUACGUUCGUUGGGUAGGGGAGCGUUCUGUAAGCCUGUGAAGGUGUGUCGUGAGGCAUGCUGGAGGUAUCAGAAGUGCGAAUGCUGACAUAAGUAACGAUAAAGCGGGUGAAAAGCCCGCUCGCCGGAAGACCAAGGGUUCCUGUCCAACGUUAAUCGGGGCAGGGUGAGUCGACCCCUAAGGCGAGGCCGAAAGGCGUAGUCGAUGGGAAACGGGUUAAUAUUCCCGUACUUGGUGUUACUGCGAAGGGGGGACGGAGAAGGCUAUGUUGGCCGGGCGACGGUUGUCCCGGUUUAAGCGUGUAGGUGUGUGUUCCAGGUAAAUCCGGUUCACUUUAACACUGAGGCGUGACGACGAGGCACUACGGUGCUGAAGCAACAAAUGCCCUGCUUCCAGGAAAAGCCUCUAAGCAUCAGGUAACAUCAAAUCGUACCCCAAACCGACACAGGUGGUCAGGUAGAGAAUACCAAGGCGCUUGAGAGAACUCGGGUGAAGGAACUAGGCAAAAUGGUGCCGUAACUUCGGGAGAAGGCACGCUGACACGUAGGUGAAGUGAUUUACUCAUGGAGCUGAAGUCAGUCGAAGAUACCAGCUGGCUGCAACUGUUUAUUAAAAACACAGCACUGUGCAAACACGAAAGUGGACGUAUACGGUGUGACGCCUGCCCGGUGCCGGAAGGUUAAUUGAUGGGGUCAGCGUAAGCGAAGCUCCUGAUCGAAGCCCCGGUAAACGGCGGCCGUAACUAUAACGGUCCUAAGGUAGCGAAAUUCCUUGUCGGGUAAGUUCCGACCUGCACGAAUGGCGUAAUGAUGGCCAGGCUGUCUCCACCCGAGACUCAGUGAAAUUGAACUCGCUGUGAAGAUGCAGUGUACCCGCGGCAAGACGGAAAGACCCCGUGAACCUUUACUAUAGCUUGACACUGAACAUUGAGCCUUGAUGUGUAGGAUAGGUGGGAGGCUUUGAAGUGUGGACGCCAGUCUGCAUGGAGCCGACCUUGAAAUACCACCCUUUAAUGUUUGAUGUUCUAACGUGGACCCGUAAUCCGGGUUGCGGACAGUGUCUGGUGGGUAGUUUGACUGGGGCGGUCUCCUCCUAAAGAGUAACGGAGGAGCACGAAGGUUGGCUAAUCCUGGUCGGACAUCAGGAGGUUAGUGCAAUGGCAUAAGCCAGCUUGACUGCGAGCGUGACGGCGCGAGCAGGUGCGAAAGCAGGUCAUAGUGAUCCGGUGGUUCUGAAUGGAAGGGCCAUCGCUCAACGGAUAAAAGGUACUCCGGGGAUAACAGGCUGAUACCGCCCAAGAGUUCAUAUCGACGGCGGUGUUUGGCACCUCGAUGUCGGCUCAUCACAUCCUGGGGCUGAAGUAGGUCCCAAGGGUAUGGCUGUUCGCCAUUUAAAGUGGUACGCGAGCUGGGUUUAGAACGUCGUGAGACAGUUCGGUCCCUAUCUGCCGUGGGCGCUGGAGAACUGAGGGGGGCUGCUCCUAGUACGAGAGGACCGGAGUGGACGCAUCACUGGUGUUCGGGUUGUCAUGCCAAUGGCACUGCCCGGUAGCUAAAUGCGGAAGAGAUAAGUGCUGAAAGCAUCUAAGCACGAAACUUGCCCCGAGAUGAGUUCUCCCUGAGACUUAGAGUCUCCUGAAGGAACGUUGAAGACGACGACGUUGAUAGGCCGGGUGUGUAAGCGCAGCGAUGCGUUGAGCUAACCGGUACUAAUGAACCGUGAGGCUUAACCUUACAACGCCGAAG
rnacentral:rRNA from 2 species